UACAAAUUAAUAUGAGUGAUGUUGGCUUAAAUAGGCUAGCAUCCUGCCAUGUGGCAGGAGAUCAAGUUGGGCCGAGUCAUAUUCAAAAUGGCGUGAGGCUGGAUGCACUGAGUCAUGUUCGAAGUGGCGUGAGGCUGGUUAGGCCCAGUCACAAUCGAGCUUCGUAAGAUGCAUGCCAGAUCUCAAAUGCUAAGAAGCUCUUAUUAAUUAAAUAACUAGGCAUGUAAAACUAAUUAACUCAUUACCCAUAUUUAAGGACACAUCUGUCGGAUUUUUGGCGCUAAUCAUUAAAUUCCAAAAACUCGAGUUGUUAAAAAAAUAUAAUCAAUUCACUUAAAACGUAAAAACACAACGUUCACGGGUUUCGAUUGUACCCAGCCUAACUAGCCUCCCACCACUUUAAAUAAAACUCGGCUCAAUCCGAUCUCCCGCCAUUUCAAACGUGAUUCGGCCCAACUUGACCCCCUGCCACAAAGUAGAAUGCUAACCCCUUUAAACCAACAACGCCACCCAACAAUUUCUUUCAUCGUUCAAGAUUUGAAUUACUAUACCAAAAAUUUAACAUAA
rnacentral:lncRNA from 1 species